rnacentral:lncRNA from 1 species
CCCUUGGACAUCUCUAGGGAUGGUGACUCCACCACUUCCCUGGGCAAUAUAUUCCAAUGCCUGACCGUGCAGAAAGAAUUUGUUCUGGGAUCAGAACUAGGAUAAAGUCACUAUGAAUCCAGAAUGUGCUCUACCCAGUGCCAGCCAUUUCAUUCCAGGCUUUGCUGCAGCCUGCAUGGAAACACCAGAGCCAGGGAGAGAGAGGUUAAAGACAAGCAACCACAGCAUCACACAAAGUACUUCUCAUAAAGGAAAUUCCAACAAUUCCACAUACACAGACCUGCACAGAGGAAGUAAGCUGCAUUCAAAGACAGCAUUGUGCAAGGUGAGUCCAACACUUCAGAUGACCACAAACACUGACACUAUGGCAAUACUUUACAUUCUGAGCUUGCCCACUAUGGUGAUGCACUCGCUGACCAAGCUCAACCCUUUGUGUGCUGCCACUGACCAUUACGGAUGCCAGAUUCACAGGCAGCUAAAAUGUGCGCCAAAGUCUUCCACUCAAAUCAGGAGUGACACCACUUUCACACAAAGCGAGAUUCUGGCCCUUGCGGUUCAUUCAGGUCCAAUCUCUGCUGAGACAGCCGGAGAGCUCUGCCGGCGCUGCGAAAAGCAUCGAUUUUGGGAGGAGGAUGCGGAGCAGCGAAUGCCCUCCUUGCUCUGUUCCCAUGACAACACCCUGCAAAGCAGCUCUGCCAGCUUCCCCCUGACUGCCUCAUCGCGCCCGACAGCGCGCCCAGGCUCCAGCUUUCAACCCAGAUAACGCCUCUUCCUUUAAUUACCGAAAGCUUAUUCCAAGAAGAAAGAUCUGUUUGAAAUAGCAAAUGGUAUUUUGAUCGUCAGAGCAGAGGUAUAAGGAUCUCCAGAGCUCAGAUACGGGGAGAAUGGCUGAGUUUGGUUUGCCAUUCAUGCUGCACGCUGCUCCUCGGGAAUGCAAUCAGGAAUGACUUGUGGGCUGGCUCCAGGACUAUAUUCUUUAAUUCCUUGGUGCUGCUUCUCCUUGUGUGCUGAUGUGAAUUAAUAU